rnacentral:rRNA from 1 species
UACGAAGGGGGCUAGCGUUGCUCGGAAUUACUGGGCGUAAAGGGCGCGUAGGCGGAUAUUUAAGUUAGAGGUGAAAGCCCAGGGCUCAACCCUGGAACAGCCUUUAAUACUGGAUAUCUUGAGUUCGGGAGAGGUGAGUGGAACUCCGAGUGUAGAGGUGAAAUCCGUAGAUAUUCGGAAGAACACCAGUGGCGAAGGCGACUUACUGGACGAUUGUUGACGCUGAGGUGCGAAAGCGUGGGGAGCAAACAGG